UUUUUUAAUUUUGAAAUUUAAAUUUUGAAUCUUGCUUCUUUAGCUUUUAGGGUUUCUAAGUUUUCUUCUUUCUAUAUCUACUUUGUGUUUGGUGAUGUUGGCUCACACGGAAGGGGGAAGAUUCGUCGGUGGUGGUGAGAUUUAUGGGUUUGGUUGACAUCAGUGUUUAUCUUUCUCGCAAACUUGUGGCGGUCUUUUUCUUCCUCGCAAACUUAAUCAUCUUCGUUACAAGAUUUUAGGGUUCCUUCCUCUUUCACGUUUGACCCACCAGGUUUUGAAAUUUGGGAACAAACAACAACUAUAUAUGCAUGGUGAUCAUGUGAUUUUUAAUGUUGAAGAAAGUUGGCAAAUGGCUAAGUUUUAUAGCAACAAGGGAAAUACGGCUGGUCUUUUCAAUUUGGGAAAUAUCCGUUAUAUGAAUUCAACAUUGCAAUGCCUCUAUUCUGGUCCAGUUUUCAAGUGUGGGAUACCGGGAUCGGUGUUUGUCUCUCUUUUCUCAUGCUUUUUAUUUUCAACAGGAUCCUUACAAAAGCAUAUUAAGGGCGUGUGUGGAGCAACCGUAACAUGGUAAACACCGGCGUGGAUUGAUGAAGAAGCACAACAGAUUUCUUAUCGACAAAAGCAUUUAGCGAACACUGUGCCUCUGGAUUAUUGGCCUUGACCAGAGUGGGAAGCCGAAGAGUCAUCCAUAUAUAUCAGCCGGUUUUAUGAUUUUCUUCUCUGUAUUUGCGCGACAUCGACAAAUCUGCGGACAUGGAAAAUAACAGCGUUCUCUCCAAGGACAUGGAACCGCGGUGUCGACGAAUCCGUCAUCCAAGAAAUCCCAACGUUCCAGUUCACAAAAGGGGCAGGCGGAGAUGAUUAUCGAAGUGUCAAAGGUUGUGUGGUUUGUUUGAAUUCUUUUCAAGAACAAAAUGAGCAGCCAAUUAAUGAAGUCCAACACGACACACUGCCCUUGCAGCCCAAAUCUGAGGUCCAUCGAAAAUCUCUAUCACUAUAGAAUCCGGGUACAAGUUCUGGCAUAAAUGCAUCUGAUGAAAUUCUUAAAGCUACCCCUCCUGUUUCAUUUUUGCAGUAAUCACAAGGUUUCCACCAUUUGAUGAAGGAUCUCGCUUGAACUAUCAUCAUCUCGAAGAUUAAUUGGCACUUCUUGGAAAGGUACUGAAUGUUGGUGAUGAUGCAUUUGGGUUAGAGAAACUAGAAGAAGAUUCCGAUGAACUAGCUCUUAAGAAUGCCCUUCGUUCUUAAUAUGGAGAACAGUAAUGGACAGACAUAUGGUUUCAUGCCCAGGACUAUGUGCGUGUAAUAGGUGAUGCUGGUGCCAACUUAUAUCCCAGCAGCAAUGCUGAAGUAGACUAAAAUGAACCUGAAGGUGCAUAUAAUUCUCUUCGUUCAAAGUUGAUUAAGGACAACAACGAGUUUGAAGUUUCCGCAAAGGAAACUUGGGAAAUAAGACUUGGUGAAUGCUUUGGAACGAUUGUAGAAAAGAAAUGUGUCAGCAUUGGGUACUCCAUUGAUAAAUUAAGCAAUAAGGAUUUGUGAUGUUAUUCUCAAUUGUAUUGAGUGGUAAUAUAUCAUUUUUUAUUGUUGAAAUUUGUUCACCUUAGUAUGUACUAUGUCUUAUGGGAGAACAAGUUCUUCAAUGCAUGAGUUUGUUAAAGUAUGGAUUAUGCAGGUUCCAAAUGUAAAAUGGGACGAUGUUGGUUGGCUUGAAGAUGUCAAAACUUCAAUCCUAGA